GUAGGCUAUGGAGAUAUCUACCCAAAAACUCUACUGGGAAAGAUAGUUGGGGGUUUGUGCUGCAUUGCUGGUGUACUUGUGAUUGCACUACCUAUUCCAAUUAUCGUAAAUAAC
rfam:Takifugu rubripes chromosome, Chr_19